rnacentral:rRNA from 1 species
AUUGAACGCUGGCGGCAGGCCUAACACAUGCAAGUCGAACGAGUGGCGGACGGGUGAGUAAUGUCUGGGAAACUGCCCGAUGGAGGGGGAUAACUACUGGAAACGGUAGCUAAUACCGCAUACCAUCGGAUGUGCCCAGAUGGGAUUAGCUUGUAGGUGAGGUAACGGCUCACCUAGGCGACGAUCCCUAGCUGGUCUGAGAGGAUGACCAGCACAACUUGAACUGAGAAACGGUUCAGACUACUACGGGAGGAAGCAGUGGGUAAUAUUGCACACGGGGCGCAAGCCUGAGGCAGCCAUGCGGCGUGUAGGAAGAAGGCCUUCGGGUUGCAAAGUACUGUCAGCGGGGAGGCGUUACCCGCAGAAGAAGCACCGGCUAACGCCGUGCCAGCAGCCGCGGUAAUAC